CGCACCUUGCACUCUUUGGUAUUCCGAAGAGUAUGUCUGUUUGAGUGUCGUGAAAUUCUCAACCCCCCCAUUUUGUAAUGAGAUGGGCUAAGGGGUUUGGUUUAUGGCUGUCUUGCAGGAUUUUUAACUAAGUCCGGCUCAGCUGAAAUAUACGAGUUGCCCUUAUUACAAUUAUAUCUUUGACGGCUUGACUCGGCGUAAUAAUUAUUAUCGCUGGGAACGUUUAUAGAUUUUGUUAAUAAGUGGUGCUUCUAAUCCUUAUUCACUUUAAGCUUUAGACCUCAAAUCAGAUAGGACUACCCGCUGAACUUAA
rnacentral:misc_RNA from 1 species